rnacentral:rRNA from 1 species
UACGUAGGGUGCAAGCGUUGUCCGGAAUUAUUGGGCGUAAAGAGCUCGUAGGCGGUCUGUCGCGUCUGCUGUGAAAACUCAGGGCUUAACCCUGAGCUUGCAGUGGGUACGGGCAGACUAGAGUGCGGUAGGGGAGACUGGAAUUCCUGGUGUAGCGGUGAAAUGCGUAGAUAUCUGGAGGAACACCGGUGGCGAAGGCGGCAUCCUGGACCGGCAUUGACGCUGAGGCGCGAAAGCUAGGGGAGCAAACGGG